rnacentral:rRNA from 1 species
UACGUAGGCAGCAAGCGUUGUUCGGAAUUACUGGGCGUAAAGAGUGUGUAGGCGGUGCUCUAAGUUCGGUGUGAAAUCUCCCCGGCUCAACUGGGAGGGUGCGCCGAAAACUGGGGGUGCUGGGAGCGCGGGAGAGGAAAGCGGAAUUCCUGGUGUAGCGGUGGAAUGCGCAGAUAUCAGGAGGAACACCAAUGGCGAAGGCAGAUCUCUGGGCCGUAACUGACGCUGAGGAGCGAAAGCAUGGGGAGCGAACAGG